AUUGAACGCUGGCGGCAUGCCUUACACAUGCAAGUCGAACGGUAACAGGUCUUCGGAUGCUGACGAGUGGCGAACGGGUGAGUAAUACAUCGGAACGUGCCUAGUAGUGGGGAUAACUACUCGAAAGAGUGGCUAAUACCGCAUGAGAUCUACGGAUGAAAGCAGGGGAUCGCAAGACCUUGUGCUACUAGAGCGGCCGAUGGCAGAUUAGGUAGUUGGUGGGAUAAAAGCUUACCAAGCCGACGAUCUGUAGCUGGUCUGAGAGGACGAUCAGCCACACUGGGACUGAGACACGGCCCAGACUCCGACGGGAGGCAGCAGUGGGGAAUUUUGGACAAUGGGCGCAAGCCUGAUCCAGCAAUGCCUCGUGCAGGAUGAAGGCCUUCGGGUUGUAAACUGCUUUUGUACGGAACGAAAAGCCCUGGGUUAAUACCCUGGGGUCAUGACGGUACCGUAAGAAUAAGCACCGGCUAACUACGUGCCAGCCGCCGCCGUAAUAC
rnacentral:rRNA from 1 species